AAAAAAAAAAAAAAGAAUUAUGUUGUCAUUCAAUAUAUCUUUAGUUAGAAUUAUGACUAGUCAAAGCUAAAAUCAAGAUAUCUUGAAUUUACUUUAUGACUAGUCGUAAUUUAAUUGUAGAUAUCUGAAAUGUGGAUUUCAGAUAGUCACCAAUUCAUUGUAGAGAUUUGAAUUGAAGUCUCCAUACAACUCAAUGGUAAAUCUGACGUCAUUUCGACUAGUCAGGAUGUAAUUAGAGAUAUCUCAAAUAAGUAUUUUAUCUAGUCAAAAUAUAAUUAGAGAUAUCUCAAAUCGCUAAACGUCUAGUCAUAAAACAAUUUGAGAUAUCUGGAAUGUAAGGGCGGCAAAACCGAAUGUAUGUUAAAACGGCUUGCCAUACAGCGCUGUCGCGGUCGGUGAAAUGACGCAAUCAAGCAAAGAAUCUGAGAAGGAGACGCAAAGUUUUGAUAAUAAUUGUCAACACUAUGAUAGCAAGAUAACAAGGUCCAAAUGGAUCACAUGUCACAGUGCGGCGUUGCGGUUUGGACCCGAUGGCGUGUUAAUGCCAGAUCUGAGCAGCAGCUGGUCGCUUCCUGUCCAAGCAGGUGCAGGAGACGAUUGCAGUUAAUUUAGAUUAGUCAGUCUAGAGCAGGUCUCCCUUUAAUUGGGCCUUACCCUAAAUACCGAGCCGGCACCUGGAGGUCUGAGUCAGGACAGCCUGACUCAGGUAGAGGAACGGAUCCACUCAGAAACCGCAGAAUGACGAUAUUUAAGCUGCACAGCCAAACCUUCUGUCAUGUGGGACAAGGCAACAACACUACCGCGCCAAAAAAUGUCAAGAAAUACUAACAGAAAGAUUUAAAUAAAAUCAAGAAAUUAAA